UGCUAUUUUUUGUAUGCCAGUGAGCAAGCCUUAGGCAAGAAGAAAUAUAUUUUAGCUCUGUUUUUAAAACAUUGGACAUUUAAGUGCUAAAUUGAUAAAACAAACAUACAAACAAAACAAAAAAAUAAUAAUAAUAGAAAAGAUAUCUAUGCAGGUAUUUACAAAUAAGAUUUGAUAAACCUAAAUGAGUCUUCAGUCAAAGAAGGAAACAGAAAUCAAACUUACAAAGAGAAUUGUGAGGGUCUGGAACCAACUCCCCAGUAAUGUUGUUGAAGCUGACACCCUGGGAUCCUUCAAGAAGCUGCUUGAUGAGAUUCUGGGAUCAAUAAGCUACUAACAACCAAACGAGCAAGAUGGGCUGAAUGGCCUCCUCUCGUUUGUAAACUUUCUUAUGUUCUUCUUAUGUUCUUAUUUUCAUUCAAUACAAUGAAUUUCAGCAGUUAGAAUAUUAACUGGGCAAUAUAGACCUGUAUGCAGUUGUGGUAAAAUAUGUACUGAAGAACAAGGAAGUCUAGCAGGUGGAGACAUGGAAGAGAAUUAUCUGACACAGGUUUCAUUAUCAAACAACAACCCAGCAGAAUGCACUGCUUAAAUGCAACAUUUCAGAUAUUGUCGAUCAGGAGUGUGUUUUUCCACAGCAUCAUUGCAAAGAGGUCAGUGCCUGCCAGUCAUGCCUUGAUCAACUGUAGUAAGAGCAAAGAGAAGCAGUAAAAAGAGUUUAUUGAUGUUCUGCUCAUGAAAUGACAUGUGUUACAGUGUUACUAAAAGAGGGACCUUGGUAUGCGGACCAGUUUACUCUAUACUAACACUUACAAAAGUUAUUUACUGAUUAAGUAGUACAUGACACAUAGAGAUUAGCACCAAUAAAAGUAAAAUCAUUUGUGUUAAAUAUUUUUAAGCAGUUGUGUCUAGCAGGAAUUGUGGAAAAUAUUCUUAUAGCAUGCAUUGACCACUGCUCUACAUAUACAGUCUAUGGAUUUAAUGUUUAUCAUAAGUUCUGUUAGCGUUGCACAGUUGACCAUGUCAUACAGCAAAAAUCCCCAAAGUGGAUUUUUUGUAUGGGACCUCUGAAUACUUUAACCGCCCCCUAACCGUUCUCCUUGAACAGAACAGAAGCAGUAAAAACAAAGGACAGAGUUCAGUCGUAACACAAAGUGCAUCUGUCUCCCACGCAUAUGUCUGCUGACAGCAUGUUAUAGUGUUCCAGCAAAUCAGCAUUUCUACAGAUCCUUUGAGCAUGCCUGCCCAUGGUUGGUGUCUGCAGAGGACAUUAAAUUAACAACCUCAUUUUGAAACAAUAACAAUAAGAAAGGUUCGAAUUGUACUUUGUGCGGUGUUGACUCAUCAUUUAUAUAACUCCUAUUGCUGUAAAUGCACGAGCAGCAAUUUCAUGUGUGGUUUUGUGUUCUGCAAGUUGUGAAUGGUGUGGGUGGGAUCAUGAUUUGUAUCUGAACCCUUUGUUUUCACUCCAGUGUUUAAAGGCAGUUGUUUUCUGUCCUCUUUAAGAGCAGCUGUUGUCCAGCAUGGCUGCAGUCCCCUCAUCAAGAUGCCUGCUUGAGAGGAAUCAGUUUUACAGAAACCGACUGAAUUCCUUUACCAGCCUUUCAUCUGGAAUCUUCACACUGUCAAAAGAUAGUGAAGGGAACCUCCCUCUAACCACUAAAUCCAUACAUCAAGGUUUUCCAACAGCUAUGGAGAAAAGCUGGUUGAGCAGUGCAUUUUUUGGAAGUUUGGGACAGAACUCCAAUACUGGCAAGGUUUCUUCAGAAAAAUAGGAUAAAACAUUAUCCCAACGGAAAGCACCAGCAAACCCGGACUCACUCAGAUGGAACCAAAAAAAAAAAAAAAAGUAACUUUGUAGGGUCUGUGCUAAUGAAGGAUGAGGAAACCGGUACGUGUUUUAAUGUUACUGAAUUGCAAUGGCUUGAGAACCAGAGGACUACAUGAUGCUCAAGACCGACGCUCCAAAAGGCAAAAUGUGUCGUCGUCCCCCCCCCAUUAGAAAACCAGGCAGCAGGCCAAACUUGGAACAUUAAGAGGGGAAAGGAGUGUACAUGGCCAUAGAAAUCAGUUGGUUUAUUGAUAGUGCUAAAGCUCAGACAGAUGUGUGGCUGAGAAAGAACGAACACACAAGUGUAGAAUCAGAGCACAAAAGCUUGAAGUAAAACACUAAAGAGCAAAUAAAAUACGGCAUGUUGAGCUCGCUUAGCAACUUUGCUGUUUGCCAAUAAUGUGGAGUAGGUUGAGACUGUGUUACAUAAUUAUACAGUACCUGGCCUUCUCUGAAACACACAGGAAUGAACUUGAGGCUAUUUCAGCAGAAAAGGUAGUGUAAAAGAUUACUGGAACACAUAGAAACUACUUCUCAAAAUGUUUCAUCAGCCAUUAGAAAAUAGUUUUGUUUUUGUAAAUAUGUAUAGCAUUAUUUUGUAUACUAUUCCAACAUUUAAAAUAAGUAUUUACAGUUAAGUUUAAUAAUUCUAUGGGAUCUGUGACAUACAAAAUAACAAAAAAAAUCUAAAUACCAUUAUUCUUUAUAACAUGUAAUAAAUAUUUGUCAAUUUUACACUCACACCAUAU